UACGAAGGGUGCAAGCGUUAAUCGGAAUUACUGGGCGUAAAGGGUGCGUAGGCGGUUGUUUAAGUCUGUCGUGAAAUCCCCGGGCUCAACCUGGGAAUGGCGAUGGAUACUGGGCAGCUAGAGUGUGUCAGAGGAUGGUGGAAUUCCCGGUGUAGCGGUGAAAUGCGUAGAGAUCGGGAGGAACACCAGUGGCGAAGGCGACUACCUGGCCCACUCUUGACGCUGAGGCGCGAAAGCUAGGGGAGCGAACGGG
rnacentral:rRNA from 1 species